GAUGAACGCUGGCGGCGUGCCUAAUACAUGCAAGUCGAGCGAAUGGAUUAAGAGCUUGCUCUUAUGAAGUUAGCGGCGGACGGGUGAGUAACACGUGGGUAACCUGCCCAUAAGACUGGGAUAACUCCGGGAAACCGGGGCUAAUACUGGAUAACAUUUUGAACCGCAUGGUUCGAAAUUGAAAGGAGGCUUCGGCUGUCACUUAUGGAUGGACACGCGUCGCAUUAGCUAGUUGGGGAGGUAACGGCUCACAAAGGCAACGAUGCGUAGCCGACCUGAGAGGGUGAUCGGCCACACUGGGACUGAGACACGGCCCAGACUCCUACGGGAGGCAGCAGUAGGGAAUCUUCCGCAAUGGACGAAAGUCUGACGGAGCAACGCCGCGUGAGUGAUGAAGGCUUUCGGGUCGUAAAACUCUGUUGUUAGGGAAGAACAAGUGCUAGUUGAAUAAGCUGGCACCUUGACGGUACCUAGCCAGAAAGCCACGGCUAACUACGUGCCAGCCGCCGCUGUAA
rnacentral:rRNA from 1 species